GACGAACGCUGGCGGCGUGCUUAACACAUGCAAGUCGAGCGGUAAGGCCCUUUCGGGGGUACACGAGCGGCGAACGGGUGAGUAACACGUGGGUGACCUGCCCUCAGCUCCGGGAUAAGCCUGGGAAACUGGGUCUAAUACUGGAUAUGACUCCACGGUGCAUGUCGUGGGGUGGAAAGCCUUGUGCGGCUGAGGAUGGGCCCGCGGCCUAUCAGCUUGUUGGUGGGGUGAUGGCCUACCAAGGCGACGACGGGUAGCCGGCCUGAGAGGGCGACCGGCCACACUGGGACUGAGACACGGCCCAGACUCCUACGGGAGGCAGCAGUGGGGAAUCUUGCGCAAUGGGCGAAAGCCUGACGCAGCGACGCCGCGUGAGGGAUGACGGCCU
rnacentral:rRNA from 1 species